GCUGGCGUUCUGAAAGCUUCUGCGCGGAGCACUACGCGUCGUUGGCCGUACCGGAGGGAAAAAAAGGCGGAGCGAAACUGAUGUGGGUUUUCCUGAGGAUCAGUUUGCCCAUUCUGGGCUGCAGUGUUUAAUUGGGGCGAGCUGGGUGGCGCCUUAUCGAUUUAAUCAGGCAUAUUAGGCAGGACGCUUCUCUGUCGUGUUGCAGCCGGCUUCUCUGAUGGCGACCCCGUAGUCAGGCCGAAAAGCAAGGGUUUUUUGAAUCGCUUACAUCGUCUAAAAGUAAUGGCGUGUUCCCGCACAGUAUCUCCGAUAUUGUUCCGGUUGCAGUUUUUCGUUUGCAUUCAGGUGCGAAGGGAAAAGUGGCACCCCCUGUUGUGCGGUCGAAUACAGACGAGCGUGUGAAAACGGAAUCUUGCCAUCAAGUGUCUAUACCGUUGAAAGUGCGCAAGACGCCUCCGCGCAUUCACAACAGAAAACUGGCGUUCCAGUAGACCCAUGGGGCACCUUUAGCCCGGUGCGUUACCAACUGAUUUUCUAUUCUGCGUGUCAAUUGGUUAUCAUGAUUUCCUUCUUAGCGUGAAAAGGUGCCAGCCAUCCGUUUCCGUCCCGUUCGUUGCCGGCUCAUCCUCGCAGUUCCCCGUAUGUUCAUCUGUCGGCCGUCUUGCCUAGGGCACAAAAGGAGCUGCCUGGAUCGCGAGAUUGGGACAGAUGUCCAAAUGGUAUGUGGUGCGUGUCCGAAUGUACACAGUGGCUGCUUGCUCCGAAGACGGACGCGUGUUACCCAGCAGGACGGCCGCGGACGACAACUUCGUUUCCUAUGUGAUAGGACGGCACACGUCGUAACGGGACGGACGUCAGAUGCUCUCCUGCUUUCUUUGGUCUCCAGCUCUAGCAUUCGCCGGUGGUGACACGCUUGUUUUUCGAAUGCAUUUUGUGCCUGCCCUAACCGUGCAAAGGCGGACCACGAGUUACCUGGAGUUCGGGCAAGAGACGCCGUUAUGUCUGCCAGAUGGAAGAAACGGUUGGAAUCGUUCGUACGGCUGCUUUUGGAGACGAAUCUGUGGCAGUAGUCUGGUUGAUACAGCAAUCGAGUACUGCGCAGAUACGGUGGCAGUCGUGUGUACAGGCCGGUUUGGUCUCUGGGUAUCUCAACUCGUGUUGACUCGCAGUCGCCUUUCGUCUGUCAGAUUCUGUCGAGGCUGGAUGUUCCCUGGUUGUUCACUGGUGACGGUGUCUUCCCAGUAGCUUGGCGUCUUCCAGGCAUUGUACAGAGUCAGCUUUUCGGUGGACAGACGACUUGCGCCUUUUGUGUGGAAGACAGUGCACUGCGUUCUCAUCUGACGGUUCUGUCCUUUCUUCUGUUUUCUUCCCCGCUUCUUUUCUCGGUAUCCGAGUCGUGUGCAUGUAUCCCGUCUUGGCCCGAGCCCACCGGGAUCUUUCGGUGUCGACGUAGUCCUUGUUUUCCCGGUCGUCUCCCUGUUUACAGAGUAAAGUAGAGGGAAACACAAUGGCUGCAGGUGCGGGCAUCGGCAGGGACCACCUGUUUCUGCCCAACUGUGAGGUGGGGGGAACAGCGUCGUCGCCGCUGGACAACCUCCGGUGUCUAGAGGGGCUGUUGGAUGUCACGUACUCCUCUGAGUGCUGCUCUUUUAACGCAGGGACGCAUCCGAUUCUGGUACGCGUACCCCUUGUUUUGCCAGACCAUCAAGAGUGUCAGUCGCAAGUGUCGAAUGACCCCGUGGAGCCUUCCACCGUGUCUCAACCAGUAUUUGGGGGGACGAGACACUCUAAGACUUCGGGAUCGCUCGAGAGAGUAGCAGACAUUUUUGGACGGGUACCUGCGCCUCAAUACUCCUGCCACGGUUUGCCGGAAUGUCUUGCGCAACCUCUCCGGGAAAGCAGGCGUGUUUUCUCGAUGCACAUUAUUACCACGCCUCAUCGGUGCUCGUGUUCGCGGGUGGACGGGAAGGCGAAGCCGACAGGCCGAUUCUCCUCCAGCUUCCUUGCGAAUACCGGGACCGGAGAGCAUGCGUCGGUCUUUUUGGAUAGACCCGGCUGGGAGAGCACAGCGUCCGUCGAGCGUGGAAAAUAGAGGCUGCAUUAGAAUGAGUUUUAAUGGGUGAUUAUAUUGGUUUUAGGUGCAGGAGGCAGUGAUGUGGGUGGGGUGAACAGGGGAGUGUGGCGAUGCGUCUGCUGGAUACUCCAGAGGUGACGGAGCUGCAGAAGAGACCACCGAAAAAUGUGGAGGCUGUCGGAGUGGAUGUCACGGUGCCGGCAAGGUUUGCCUCGUCAGCAAGGGCCGACAACGGUGUGACAGAAAAGCAGAUGCGGUGCAUGUGCCAGGGAGGCGUCUUUGGACAACGCGGAGAGAUACAGAACAAAUUUGUUCAGUUCGCCCCCCCCUCCUGCUCGCCAGCCAGGAAGAGUGGAAGCUUGAGUUCUUUGAAAUAGUGUUGGGAGCGGCAACAUCGACGCGUUCUUGUGGAAGUUAUUAGGUUGUAGUGCUGAGAGGAGUUUUCGGAGGAAAGACGACGGAACGGAGAGCUUGUGUCGAGGCUGAUAUUCCCGGUGCACCAGCAAUAGAGUGGCGCGGCGAAUGAGCAAGGCCACCGAAACAUGGGUGGCGCUUUUAUCCCGAAUUACUAUGGCUCUGAGUGUUGGCCUGUUAUUCUUACCAAGCACACAAACCCCAGACAUUCACCGCAAAGCCGGGCAGAAUUCUCUUCACUGCGUUAGGUGGAGGUGGACCCGAAGCAGUGAGGUGCACGUGUGUGCGAGGCCUUCGGGGACGUUUUCGCGCGAUGUGAAAUAGAUAAUAGCACGCUGAGUGCGAGUUUUUUGUGAAAUGACAAGGGUCGAAACGUGACCGCGAACACCUCAAUUCCCAAAGUCUUUAGGAAGAAAACGACUGGCAGGAUGUGCCAGACGUGGCGCGGUGCCUGUGUUUCACCAAAGCUGCGUCCACAGAAACACACACACGUAGUGCAUGCGUUGGCAGUGCGAGAAGAUCUGGGAGUCUUCGUUAGGCGAGGACGGGAAGUUUCGAAGUCUCUGUCACCCACUGGAUAGGGAUGCAGACGGAGGGUGUCUUUAUGGUGGUAGUAUUUUCCGAAUCGCAGCUUAUAGAGUGCGCCCUCGGAAGUUUUGUGUUCUCUUGAAGCCACCUGGGUGGGCAAAACAGCGAAGAAGAAGCGAACGGGGUUUUUGCGUUGUAUUCUUUCUCCUGCGAUGUGGUACGGUGAAGUUUUCUACAGGGGGGAGGCACAGUGUGUUCCCGCCGUUUUUCCAUUAUGUAGUGCUGCCCGCGUAAUCGUAGGAAUUGGGAGUGGUGUGUUUUUCUGGUUGUGGCGUCAAGGGUUCAUAAUCCUAAGUUACCUUUCUCGCCUUUGGAAAGCGAACAGUGCUUUCCGAGCACGUCGAACACAAGAGGAGAGGCAAGGAAUUCGUCAGUGUUGAGUUCUUGCCUUGUCUCGAGGUCCGAUGUCUUUUCAUUGGUUGGUGUAGAAUCUGCCCAGUAUACAAGUUCCGUACCAACGAGUAACGGAACUGUCUCCCAGCAUUGUUCUACAGAAUGUGUGAUGGAGUUGGGCACGUCUACGAGGAUCCAAUAUUUGCACGGUAGGCUGGCCCUGCGUCUGGUGGGAGCCGGUUGGAGAGUGGAGGGCGUAUUUUUGCUCCUGGAAUCCAGACAGUUAAUGCUGCCAGUUUUUUCUACCCGCCGUUUUGAUUUGUGAGAUGCUGGGGUGCACGUCACUGCAUGGGGUGCUGAUCAUCAGUUGGAAAGACUUCUGGAGUUGCGACGCAAAAGGUCUUGCGGUCUGGGUGGCCAAAGGGCUCUCAAGACAGCGAAGGUUCAUCAGUCGCUCAUUUCUGGUAGGCGCUGUGUUCCUCUUACACCAUUUUGUGUGUUGGUCGGAUUCUUGUCCCUGAUGGCGAAUGCAUGUAGAGCAUGUAGAUAUUUUUCCGGUCAAUACACCAACAUCCUAGGCAGGAGAUUUGUCGAUGUGACGUUUCAUCAUGCCCAGGAGCGGUGUUGAGUCGGUUUAGACGUGAGCUCUCAAGUCUCCAGGCAGCUGUCGCUCGUUUCAAGCUGCUGGAUUCGUGGCUAAGUUCAGCCGGUGUUUCUGGCAAUGGCGGAACCGGGGAGAGACGCGUCACACAUCUGUGCUGUUCGUAGAGGCGCUUGUCAAACGGAUCGACGGCCUGCCUGUGUUGAACCGUGAAGGCGCUUUUGCUGUUCCAAUUUUGUCAGGAGAAUCUCGUGACGAAUGAGGGAUGUCUCAAAAUUGUGCUGUGUUCUUUUCGGAUAAAAACUGCACGAGAAAAAAGCAUUGGAGAACGGACUUUUCGAAUUGAUUGAUUCAGACAGACGUACGCCAGUGCUCAUGGCGCUUUUUGUCGCCUAUCAGCCUUCCGUAGUUUGCUUCAUGUGUCAAACGUCGAGCUACUUUGUUUAUUCAGCCAAAAGGUGUCGUAGCAGAUGCAGACU
rnacentral:lncRNA from 1 species